GCGCUAAAACACUCGUUUAUUUGCCAAACACCAUAAAACCUCAGAGGAAGAGGAUUACUUUCUCCACGCUCUCUGUUGUUUUGUCGCGAUGCUGGUUUAAUACAAUCUGUUAGAAAUUUAGUUUCUGUAAAUAUAGAAAUACAGUUUUUGAAUCUGGUCUGUAAAUACCUGUAAUAUUCUCAUCCUGACAGUCGUGACUAAGUUUUGAAUCAAGCAGGAAUAACUGGAGGAGUAUCUUCUGAACUGAGAUCUGCUGCUGUGAAGAUGGAGUUUGUUAAAGAAGAGAGUGAAGAGAACACGAGUGAACCAGAAACCCGCAGAAUAAAACACGAGGAUCCAGAAACCCGGAGAAUAAAACACGAGGAACCAGAAACCCAGAUAAUAAAACACGAGGAACCAGAAACAUGGAGAAUAAAACACGAGGAACCAGAAACCUGGAGAAUAAAACACGAGGAACAAGGAGUGAAGCAGCCCGUGCAUGAGAGAAUAAUUGAUUCUGGAGCCGUCGAUAUCAACAGAUUCAGCACCAUCGCCACGGACAGCACCUGGUAGAGUCGCACGUAAGUAGGUAUAUCUUCAGCUUCCUAAGGUAUGGUUCGGGGAACACGCCUAGAAAUGGCAUACCUUUAGUUAAGUUAUACGUUAGGAGUCUUUGUAGCGACUCUAAUAACGUUACCGAGAAACGCAGCCCUGCAAUUAUACUAGAGCAGCAGAGUCUUGGGCUGCGUUUCUCGAUAACGUUGUCUCUUAGCGCGCUACGAAGACUCUUAAGGUAUAACUUGACUAAAAAGGUAUACCAUUUCUAGGCGUGUUCCCCGAACAAUACGGUGCUGAAUCUGUUGAUAUCUACGGCUCGAGAAUUAUUAUCUGAUGCACGGGCUGCUUCACUGCGUUUUGAGAGAAAGCGGUGUUCUUUAUAAAAUAAUCACUUCAGAAAUAGUUGAAAUUGCAUGAAAAGUAAUCCAAACUAUAAUAGCCUAGCCUAAAUAUUUAAAAAUUGUAUCAUAUAUUGCUGCCACAAUAACCAUUUCAUUUUUUUACAUGCUUUCUUCUCGUUCCCAUUUUUUUGUUUGCUGUGGUGUUGCUGCGAUGAGAUAUUGUUCUU
ensembl:lncRNA